AACGACUCUCGGCAACGGAUAUCUCGGCUCUCGCAUCGAUGAAGAACGUAGCGAAAUGCGAUACUUGGUGUGAAUUGCAGAAUCCCGUGAACCAUCGAGUCUUUGAACGCAAGUUGCGCCCGAAGCAUUUGCUUAGGGCACGUCUGCCUGGGCGUCACAC
rnacentral:rRNA from 1 species